rnacentral:rRNA from 1 species
UCUGACUUGAGUGCAGAAGGGGAGAGUGGAAUUCCAUGUGUAGCGGUGAAAUGCGUAGAUAUAUGGAGGAACACCAGUGGCGAAAGCGGCUCUCUGGUCUGUCACUGACGCUGAGGCUCGAAAGCGUGGGUAGCGAACAGGAUUAGAUACCCUGGUAGUNCACGCCGUAAACGAUGAGUGCUAGGUGUUAGGCCCUUUCCGGGGCUUAGUGCCGGAGCUAACGCAAUAAGCACUCCGCCUGGGGAGUACGACCGCAAGGUUGAAACUCAAAGGAAUUGACGGGGGCCCGCACAAGCGGUGGAGCAUGUGGUUUAAUUCGAAGCAACGCGAAGAACCUUACCAGGUCUUGACAUCCCGAUGCUAUUCUUAGAGAUAGGAAGUUACUUCGGUACAUCGGAGACAGGUGGUGCAUGGUUGUCGUCAGCUCGUGUCGUGAGAUGUUGGGUUAAGUCCCGCAACGAGCGCAACCCUUAUUGUUAGUUGCCAUCAUUAAGUUGGGCACUCUAGCGAGACUGCCGGUAAUAAACCGGAGGAAGGUGGGGAUGACGUCAAAUCAUCAUGCCCCUUAUGACCUGGGCUACACACGUGCUACAAUGGUCGGUACAACGAGUUGCGAGCCGGUGACGGCAAGCUAAUCUCUGAAAGCCGAUCUCAGUUCGGAUUGGAGGCUGCAACUCGCCUCCAUGAAGUCGGAAUCGCUAGUAAUCGCGGAUCAGCACGCCGCGGUGAAUACGUUCCCGGGCCUUGUACACACCGCCCGUCACACCACGAGAGUUUGUAACACCCGAAGUCGGUGAGGUAACCUUUUAGGGG